UUGGAGGGCAAGUCUGGUGCCAGCAGCCGCGGUAAUUCCAGCUCCAAUAGCGUAUAUUAAAGUUGUUGCAGUUAAAAAGCUCGUAGUUGAAUUUCGGGGUUAGUAGGUUGGUCAUGCCACUGGUAUGUACUGGUCUCACUGAUUCCUCCUUCCUGAUGAGCCGUAAUGCCAUUAAUUUGGUGUUGCGAGGAAUCUGGACUGUUACUUUGAAAAAAUUAGAGUGUUUAAAGCAAGCUAACGCUUGAAUACAUUAGCAUGGAAUAAUGAAAUAGGACGUUCGAUCCUAUUUUGUUGGUUUCUAGGAUUGACGUAAUGAUUAAUAGGGAUAGUUGGGGGCAUUAGUAUUCAAUUGUCAGAGGUGAAAUUCUCGGAUUUAUUGAAGACUAACUACUGCGAAAGCAUUUGCCAAGGAUGUUUUCAUUAAUCAAGAACGAAAGUUAGGGGAUCGAAGACGAUCAGAUACCGUCGUAGUCUUAACCAUAAACUAUGCCGACUAGGGAUCGGAUGAUGUUAAUUUUUUAAUGACUCAUUCGGCGCCUUACGGGAAAC
rnacentral:rRNA from 1 species